GGAGGGGUACCCUAGUGGUCAAAGGGAGCAGACUGUAAAUCUGCCGCGCGAGCUUCGAAGGUUCGAAUCCUUCCCCCUCCACCA
rnacentral:tRNA from 2 species